rnacentral:lncRNA from 1 species
UUUUUUAUAGGUGAAUGAAGAACAUUUUAUGAGAAUGAGACAUAAGCCUCAGGAUCAAUCAUUCGGGGUUCCACCGGAAUGCUAGAUUCCAAUGGUCCCUUUUCAAUCGAAUUAAUUGAGAAGAUUGUUUGAUGGACAACGAACGCUUGAUAAGAAUCAAUUGUUCAAAGGGUUACGCCAGAAUGCUUGAUCUCAACGGCCCUUGUUUUGUCCAGGUUUUUAGGGACAAAAGAAAAAAUUAAAAAAAUUAAAAAAAGAAACCAAGGGGUCAUGCCCCAUUUGUAGUAAACUUAUUUCUUAAAUAUUACUAAAUGUACCGGUAACACUUGAUAAUGCUUUUUUUAAUAUAAAACAAAAAAUAAAUAAUAAAUAAUAAAAUAAGUGAAGAGAAAGGACAACACCCCUACUUCAUCCAACCACUCUAGUACUAUUGAAUCUAAGAAUGAUUCAUUCUAAAUCACCCAAAUUCAAUAAUUAAUUUACAAAACAAUAAAUAUUACUUUUAAAAAAGAAAAGAAAAAAAAGAAAAGAAAAAAAAA